rnacentral:rRNA from 1 species
ACGAACGCUAGCGGCGUGCUUAACCCAUGCCAGUCGAACGGAAAGGCCCUGCUUUUGUGGGGUGCUCGAGUGGCGAACGGGUGAGUAACACGUGAGUAACCUGCCCUUGACUUUGGGAUAACUUCAGGAAACUGGGGCUAAUACCGGAUAGGAGCUCCUGCUUCAUGGUGGGGGUUGGAAAGUUUCGGCGGUUGGGGAUGGACUCGCGGCUUAUCAGCUUGUUGGUGGGGUAGUGGCUUACCAAGGCUUUGACGGGUAGCCGGCCUGAGAGGGUGACCGGCCACAUUGGGACUGAGAUACGGCCCAGACUCCUACGGGAGGCAGCAGUGGGGAAUAUUGCACAAUGGGCGGAAGCCUGAUGCAGCAACGCCGCGUGCGGGAUGACGGCCUUCGGGUUGUAAACCGCUUUCGCCUGUGACGAAGCGUGAGUGACGGUAAUGGGUAAAGAAGCACCGGCUAACUACGUG